CCCAGGGACUGAAGGGAGGAAGAGGACCUGAUUUAGGUAUUGCAUAGGUUGGUUACAUUUCCUGAUCUUGGAGAAGUGGGUUUAUGCAGGAGAUGUCCUAUGGGGUCCAGCAGCACACACCCUUCUGGUCCCUUGAGCUAUGUGCUCUAAGAGUGCCCCCUAUGUGGGCUGCAUGUGCCCUUCUGAUGUGGUGGAGCCAACUACUAUGGACACACUGAUUUGACUAUUCUGAACAUUUCACAUUAAAGGAGUUAUACAGUAUGCAGCCUCUUGUGACUGAUGAUGUUUUCAAGAGUUGUUGGAGUAGAGCCAGAGGAAGGGAAAGAAGAAAGUGUGAGUGAGAAGGAACAUGGAUGAGAAGAGGAGGAAAAGUGAGCGGCUAGAAGGGACCAAAGCGUCAAGGAGUACUUUUCUGAAUCACAGAGGGACACUGCGCAGUGCAGAUGGACUUCAUCGUAAUCCCCAAUGAACUUAAAGACGGUGACGUGGAAGCGACAGGUGAGGGAGACACCGUUUUCCUCGAUGCCAAUGGUGUUGUCUUUAAUGUUCUGACACCUAUUCGGAAAAAAGGGACUCUCUGCUUCACACUUUCAUGUUUCAUACAAAAACCAUCAUGAACGGUAAAAAUGCCUUUGCGUUUGAAGGUGACCUCUGGAGUGUGUGGGUCUGUCAUUUAUUACGACUCCCUUAUAGUUUCAGUUUGUUGGAAAAGCAUCAAAUAGCACCUCAAAUUAGGAUCUUAACUGCAACUAAAAACAAAAUGACCACAGGGCCUGCACUCAAUUUCCCUACCCACCAGUUUCUCAUUCCUCCCCCUCACAAUGCUGUGUUUUACUGAUAUCAGUUUAAUAAACACAAGA